ensembl:lncRNA
UAGCACAAUACAGAACCUUUAUUUUUAAGAGUAUACUUCAUUGAUGAGUAGUCAGUGUACAGUGUUCACUGCUGUGUGUGUGCACUUUGGAUGGGUUAAAUGCAGAGCAUGAAUUCUGAGUAUGGGUCAAGAAACUUGGCUGUAUGUCACGUCACUUGUCACUUUAUCAUUGUCUCACUCAGAGGCUGGAUGAGGUGAAUCAGGAACUGGGGCAGAGCGAGGAGGACUGAAGGGCUCUCCGACAGAAAUGCACUGAGCUGAAGGAGCAGCUGGCUGAUACGAUCAGAGAAAAAGAACAAAUAAAGGAGGUUCUCACUUUUGUUUCUUCUUUUAAAUCUACAAUAACAAUGUUUUCAGUAGCUGAUACAGUUUGCAGAUCAAUUUCAGUAACUGUACAACAUGUGUGCAAUCUUUACAAAAAGAUCUAGAGUAACAAGUGAAGCGUUUUGGAGAGCUGGAGUGAAUCAUUGCCCAGAAGGAGCUGCUUUUGCAGGGGACCAAAGAAACAAAGGAAGCCCUUCUUCAGGAGCUCUGUUCCCGAGAGAGGAGCACAGCUUUAAACUGAGAGAAAUACAGAGCAAGACAGUGCAAGAAAUUGAGCAACUGACGUUACAGUUAACCAAAAGCCACAAAGUGGAGCUUCAAAAGGUGCAUCAGCAGGCGGAUGAGUUGAGAUCAGCUGCUCUCAGUGACCGAGCUCAGACUCACAAACAGAGCCUGGAGUCCUUACACAACUGCAUCCAGAUGAAAGAUGAGGAGAUAAAGAGACUCAAAGAGGCUCUAGAGCAGCAUGAGGAGAAGAUGAGGAGGCAAGCAGAAGAUCUCAAAAGAGAAACUCAGGAAAAGAUUCGAAGGGCUGUGAAACGAGAGGAAAGGAAGUGGGAGGAACAGAGAGAUGAGGCUCUUAAAGAGCAGCGUGGGACUCUGGAGCAGCAAAUAGAGGAGGCAGUGAGGAGAGGGAAAAGUGGAGAAGGAGAGAAGGAAUGCACUGGUCUUACAGAGUAAAGUGACUGAGCUUCAGAGGGAGUCAGAGAAGGAGGUGGUAUGUCUGAAGCAAACUUUGCAGCGGUCUAAAAAGGACUUCAAGAGCUGCGGACAGCCCUCUCUGAGAAAAAAACAAAAACACAAGAGAAGAGCAGCCAGACUUGAGCAGCUGAGCAAACUCUGGGCGCAGGACAUACACAGCGAGUGUGUUUGCUUGCAGGAGUUACUUAAACACAAUGGCCUAGCUGCUGAAAACAAGAACUCAUCAGACAGGUGUGCUUACUUAUUUGUAGUACAUACAGUAUGUUCGUGUAUAAGAGACUUCUACCUAAAACAUUGUGCACUGGUCCUAAUGUGGGGAAAUGCAAAGCCAAAGUAACUUACAAAUAAGGGACAUAAGACUAUUUUGCAAACAAGUCUAAAAAGCCCGAAACUAAAAUAAAGAAAAUUAGGCAAAUUGAUCUGAAGGUGAU